rnacentral:misc_RNA from 1 species
UCUCGGCUUAUCACCGGCAGUCCCCUUAGAGUGCCCAACUGAAUGCUGGCAACAUAGGACAGGGGUUGCGCUCGUUGCGGGACUUAACCCAACAUCUCACGACACGAGUUGACGACAGCCAUGCACCACCUGUGCACGAGCCCCGAAGGGCUGCCGUAUUUCUACGACAUUCCCGUGCAUGUCAAGCCCUGGUAAGGUUCUUCGCGUUGCAUCGAAUUAAACCACAUGCUCCACCGCUUGUGCAGGCCCCCGUCAAUUUCUUUGAGUUUUAACCUUGCGGCCGUACUCCCCAGGCGGAUAACUUAAUGCGUUAGCUGCGCCACCAAAAGCCCAUGGCCCCUGACAGCUAGUUAUCAUCGUUUACGGCGUGGACUAC